AGAGUUUGAUCCUGGCUCAGGACGAACGCUGGCGGCGUGCCUAACACAUGCAAGUCGAACGGAGUGCUUGCAUCUGAUUCUUUCGGGAUGAAGAUGCAAGUAUCUCAGUGGCGAUCGGGUGAGUAACGCGUGAGAAACCUGCCUUUCACAAAGGGAUAGCCUCGGGAAACUGGGAUUAAUACCAUAUAAAGUUCCAAAUUAGCAUUAAAAAGGAACCAAAGUGUAAGCGGUGAAAGAUGGUCUCGCGUCCCAUUAGCUAGUUGGUGAGAUAAAAGCUCACCAAGGCGACGAUGGGUAGCCGGCCUGAGAGGGUGACCGGCCACACUGGAACUGAGACACGGUCCAGACUCCUACGGGAGGCAGCAGUGGGGAAUAUUGCACAAUGGAGGGAACUCUGAUGCAGCGACGCCGCGUGAGCGAAGAAGGCUUUCGAGUCGUAAAGCUCUGUCCUAGGGGACGAUAAUGACGGUACCCAAGGAGGAAGCCCCGGCUAACUACGUGCCAGCAGCCGCGGUAAUACGUAGGGGGCGAGCGUUGUCCGGAAUUAUUGGGCGUAAAGGGUUCGCAGGCGGCCUAUUAAGUCAGAUGUGAAAUUCCAUGGCUUAACCAUGGUAAGCAUUUGAAACUGGAAGGCUUGAGUUAAGGAGAGGAAAGUGGAAUUCCUAGUGUAGCGGUGAAAUGCGUAGAUAUUAGGAGGAAUACCAGUGGCGAAGGCGACUUUCUGGACUUUAACUGACGCUGAGGAACGAAAGCGUGGGUAGCAAACAGGAUUAGAUACCCUGGUAGUCCACGCCGUAAACGAUGAGUGCUAGGUGUUGGGGGUCAAACCUCGGUGCCGCAGCUAACGCAUUAAGCACUCCGCCUGGGGAGUACGUACGCAAGUAUGAAACUCAAGGAAUUGACGGGGACCCGCACAAGCAGCGGAGCAUGUGGUUUAAUUCGAAGCAACGCGAAGAACCUUACCAGGGCUUGACAUGCCUCUGAUCGUUCUAGAGAUAGAGCUUUCCCUUCGGGGACAGAGGACACAGGUGGUGCAUGGUUGUCGUCAGCUCGUGUCGUGAGAUGUUGGGUUAAGUCCCGCAACGAGCGCAACCCUUGUCUUUAGUUGCUAACAGUUAAAGCUGAGCACUCUAGAGAGACUGCCGAUGAUAAAUCGGAGGAAGGUGGGGAUGACGUCAAAUCAUCAUGCCCUUUAUGUCCUGGGCUACACACGUGCUACAAUGGUCGGUACAACGAGAAGCGACCUAGCGAUAGGAAGCAAAUCUUAAAAAGCCGAUCCCAGUUCGGAUUGCAGGCUGCAACUCGCCUGCAUGAAGUCGGAGUUGCUAGUAAUCGCGAAUCAGAAUGUCGCGGUGAAUGCGUUCCCGGGUCUUGUACACACCGCCCGUCACACCAUGGGAGUUGGAAAUGCCCGAAGCCAGUGAGCUAACCGUAAGGAAGCAGCUGUCGAAGGUAGGGUCAAUGACUAGGGUGAAGUCGUAACCAAGGUAGCC
rnacentral:rRNA from 1 species